UCCAAGCAAGAGCCCCACACAGAAGGAUCUCCUGGUGGUUCUGCGAACAAAGCAAAUUAUUAUGCCUGCUGAAAGCAGUCACAGAAAGGCGGUGGUGCAUCCCUUGUCAGAGAGCGCGCCGGCAGCAGGCCAGGAACAAAGAUCUCAGGCUUCUUCCAUCAGUUCUGAGCACAGCCUGGUCCGAGAUGCCUGCCUCUUGCUAAUAAUUUAAAUGGCAGUCCAUUAAUCUAAGAAUUAACUUGCCAUUAUGUUCCCAUCGCUUUUCAUUAAACCGGCAAAUGCAUUAUGUCGUGGCUGCAUGCAAACUGUGUAUUUCAGUGUUUACAGCUCAGCACCAAUUCUACAGGCCGCAGUAGAGCAAAAGGGCAAGAAAGCUGAGAGGUCGAUAGCCCUUGUCCAGUUCAGCAUACAACAGUUCAUCCGGAUUCCUAAACAUCUUUUGAAAGAGGUUUCCAGGCAUAUCGACAAAUCCCUGGUUGAUGACAGCAUGCAAGUCUGAUCUCAGACCAGUGACUUUGCUGUUGUUGUUCAAGACUAUUCGCAUUGUCUACAGAUAAUAAG